AUCCAUUUCACUGCUCAAGCUCAGCAGCCACAUUUACAAGGUAACCUGGUUCACCUGUGCUCACACAAUGACCUCUCCUCUGACAAAGAACCUCAACUGAAGGCUUCCUCAAAAACACCACGGACGCAGAGCCAAGACGCACCAGUUUUCAAGCUGGAGUUCUGACAAAGAAGCCCAGAGUGCCAUUGCUUAGGCAUUAAGCUCUUCAGAGCAACGCAGACAGCCGGAUGCUGCUGAAUCAGCUGACAUUUUGAAACGUCUGAAAACUGCCAACGAGUACCGGAGAAGACCCAGGUACGCACGUGACCACGGAGGCUCGAGAAAGACGUUUCCUCUGAGAUGUCACGCUUGAGGGUAAGCCAAGUCCCAGACUGCGUUAAAUUACACCAAUCAUGUGCUGCCUAACAAAUGCUAGUAAACGGAUAGCUUCAUUUUUUAUUUGCUCCCUUUUCUCUGUUCCCUUUGUUCUGCAUUUCGCAGUAUUUCAUGUUGUUUAAGCUAAUUCUCCAUCAGCAACCAUUAAAGAAAGGGAUAUGCCUUUGUUUCCCAUAAAGCUGCAAAAUGUCCUCUGGUGUCAGAGACAAUUUUCUUCCCAAUUCUUUGACAACUGCGUUGACAAUUUCUAGAUAUUUCACUUGCCGUCAUUCUUGUCAUUGACUGUGACUUUUUAAAAGACUUUAAAAGUCCAGAGCAAAGAUUUACAGAGGAAAAACACUGAAGUAGAUUUUUUUUAUUUAGCUCUUUUUGUAACAGAAAAAAAAAUGUAAACGUGUGUACUUUAAUCUCAGUUUUAAUCUGAGAGACCUUACAGGUUUAUUAGAGAACAUUAGUGAAGAAAUGGCAUCAUGAAGAUCAAGAAAUGCAGCAGACACAGUGGAAGUGAAAGAGAAGUGUUAGGUUUGGUUAUAAAACAAUAUAUUAUGCUUUCAACAUCCUGCGGAGAAUUUCUAAUCUUUCCAUCAUCUGAAAAUUAAAUAAAAAAAAAGAGAACUGCACCUCAAUAUAUGGCUAUUUUCCUAAACUGACAAGAAGAGUCUUACUCUGAGAAGCAACCGAUAAGUCUGCAAUUACUCUGAAUGAAGCCUAAAUAAAAUGCCUGCCACACUUUUCAGAUUUAUAUUACUAAAUUUUCUUUCCGUUUCACGAUAAGCACUACUCCGUGGUGAUCUGUAACAUGACAUCCUAAUCACGUUCACUAAAGUUUGUGAUUCAACUGUGAAGAGGGUCAAGAGGCAUGAAUACCUUUAAUGGUUUCCCAUGAACUGGAAGCAGAUAGAAUUGGCUGGUGUGUAAAUGGAAACCGGUGUUUCAGAGGGACAAAUAAAGUAAAGAUUUGUGUUUUCUUAAGCCCUCUGUAAACUCAAUAAUCUCAUUUCCUGUAGGACUUCUGUUCAGAUGUUGUUUCACUUCAUUUUUUGCCAAC